rnacentral:rRNA from 2 species
GACAGGGGGCUCGAGCGUUAAUCGGAAUCAUUGGGCUUAAAGGGUGCGUAGGCGGGUUGCUAAGUGUUCUGUGAAAUCCCCCGGCUCAACCGGGGAAUCGCUGGGCAUACUGGCAGCCUUGAGGCAUGUAGGGGCGGACGGAACUGUAGGUGGAGCGGUGAAAUGCGUAGAUAUCUACAGGAACGCCGAUGGUGAAGACGGUCCGCUGGGCAUGUCCUGACGCUGAGGCACGAAAGCGUGGGGAGCAAACAGG